rnacentral:rRNA from 1 species
UAGGGAAUCUUCCGCAAUGGACGCAAGUCUGACGGAGCAACGCCGCGUGAGUGAAGAAGGAUUUCGGUUCGUAAAACUCUGUUGUUAGAGAAGAACAGCGCAUAGAGUAACUGUUAUGCGUGUGACGGUAUCUAACCAGAAAGCCACGGCUAACUACGUGCCAGCAGCCGCGGUAAUACGUAGGUGGCAAGCGUUGUCCGGAUUUAUUGGGCGUAAAGCGAGCGCAGGCGGUCAAUUAAGUCUGAUGUGAAAGCCCCCGGCUCAACCGGGGAGGGUCAUUGGAAACUGUUUGACUUGAGUGCAGAAGAGGAGAGUGGAAUUCCAUGUGUAGCGGUGAAAUGCGUAGAUAUAUGGAGGAACACCAGUGGCGAAGGCGACUCUCUGGUCUGUAACUGACGCUGAGGCUCGAAAGCGUGGGUAGCAAACAGG